CCUCUUGCGCGUGCGCGCGCCUUCUGCGCCGUUGGCGCGUCAACAGCCCGCGGGCCCAGGCCUUGAGGCGCGUCUGAGGAAGGGGCUGCCUGUGGCCUCUUUGCGCGCACUUCCUCCACUCGCCGCCCGUGGCGCCCCUAGGAGGACUUAACCCGCGUUGGGCUUUGAAGGCUGGAGCUAGGCUCUGGCGGGUCUAGAGCCCUGUAGGGCCUGCACCAGCUCCAACCUAGGGCCCUAAGCGUCGUUAUCCGUGCAGCUCCCACCCUGUCACCCUCUCCCUAUGCCCUUGUUCCGCCCGCAUCUCUCAGGAGGCAAUAGACCUUUUAUCUCCCGGGAGGGUCUCACCUUAGUCUUCAGACGCCUGCCGAGAGGGCUAGAAGGGCAGAAUUAGCAUAAAGAAGAAAGAGGCGAGGCCACGUUCAGGCUUAAGCCCCAGGAAUCCUUGACAGGAAGCGUGGGGUUGCUGCCCAGCCUCCCACGCAGUGUAGGUGAAACUGGGCCCCUUUGAGGGACUGUGACUAAGGACAAAACCCUGAUAAAUAUUAUUUAUGCGUCCUUGGGCUGAGAGGGAGAAAAUGUAAGAGACGAGUUAAUUUUCAUAAAUUACUACGCAGGGGCGAAAUGCAGAAUUAUAAAGUGUCCUUUAAGAGUUUUCUUGAAAUCUUACCAAGUUUGACAAGAUGCUUGGUGCACGGUAACUUUCUUCCAUACUUUGUAUGCUGUCACAUCUCGGUCCUGCAACACUGCGUCAUGGAAGAUGGGUCAAUUAAAAGUUAUCAGCUGCAAAAUAGAAAGCUACCUUAACCAUCUUUAUCAUGAUUUAAAUAGAUGUCAGAGAAGUCAUUCUGUAGUUAAAAAUUUAGCCACUGUCCUAACUUAUUUAGCUGAGCAUAUUUUAUUUUGAAGUUACCUUGCAAUACACGGUAAAAUACCCUUUUAUUAGGCAAUAUUAAACUUUUAAACUCACUUACAGGACUGGACUUUUUUUUAGGAAGCUUAUCGAGUUAAACCUUUGAGGCAAGUAAGAGUGAGAUGAAAUUAACCCCAUUUUAUAGAUGAGAAAAUUGAGUUAGAAAAACGUCAGUUCAGAGUUGCAGGGAGUCUGUGACCCAUAAAGGGAUCUAGUAUCACCUACUUUAUCCACUAAACCAGAAAUCCCUCAAUUGUUUACUUGUGGGUAUCUUUGGAUGCCCCUGUCCCCCGUCCCCAUGCAUUGUAGUCAGUGCUAAUGUCUGAGAGAAAUUUUGGAGGUAUUCCUGGAGACGCCAAAUCACAGAGGACUCUAAAAGGUUUGAGGUUGGAAUUCCCUGCCACAGAAAAUCACAGCUGUGCAAUAAGUUAUUGUGAAACAAUUCAGAUUCUAUACUAACAACAAAGUGUUUAUUAAUCCCUAGUUAGAGGUGAAAAAACUUUUGAGACAGGUUUAAGAAUGAUGGGUCAUUUCUUUUGAAUUGCUUCUUUAUUCACCUCAUCUUUAGGUGGCAGCACUACUAUAUAAAUAUCUUUAAAACUACAGUCUUCUGCAACUGGAUAUCCUGAAAAGUGUUUUGUCCUAAAUACAUCCAACUCUAUUGUGGAGAUUAGAAGUAUGAAAUCAUAUCUGAGAAUUAGAAUAUUUAAGAGGUUCCAGAGGACGAAAAACAGAAAGGCUUUCAGAGAAAUUAAUACAUGGAGUUACUGAAGGAAAAGAUUUGAAAGUUUUUAAAGAGCUUUUUCUUUUUCUUCUUCUUCUUCUUUUUUUUUUCUUUUAGGUAUAUGAGGCGCAAGUAGCAUCUUUAUUCUAAACCUGAUCUCCUAUUGAACCAGCACAAAAUAACCUUCCAAAACAAACCAUAGUUUCUCAAUACUGCGUAUUAAAAAUUUACAAGUUUUAAGUUACUGUUUGUAUAGUUGCCAUUAUUCUAACUAUAAUUUUAUUUAUUUUUUAUGUAAGCUCUCCUGCCAAGGUAGGGCUUGAACUCAUGACCCCAAAAUCUAGAGUUGCAUGAUCUACCAACCGAGCCAGCCAGGCACCCCUAACUACAAUUUUAUAAUUGUAAUAAUUUUAUAAUUCUUCAUUAAACUGCUUCAAGCUUAAGAGGAUCCCAAAUAGCACCUUACUGUUGACCCUUGUGAAAGAGAAGAAUUCUUCCUGGUUCCUUUCCUCGCUUCCUAAAUUGUUCAUAUACAAACUAAACCACCAUUACUCAAACUCAGAGAAGUGAUAAUACAAACUAAACUAUAUAUAAAUUGAUAGCAACUUAUAGAUAUUCUACAUCUGAAUUUCUGCCACAGUGUUUGAGGGUAAUCAGUUGUGAUUGAAUCAUGUAUGGGAGCUAUUUAGAUCAGUAUUUUCUAAGUAGAACGUCAUCAUAAUCAAUCUUUUUGCAGUAGGUUUCCCUGUAUGCCUUUAUCCAAGCCACCAAACAAAAUUGAAUUUACAUGUAUUUCAGAAUAGACUAUGUUGGAUUUACAAUAUAAGUUGUAAAUUUAUAAGUAAACAAAACUACCCAAGAAUAUAUCUGUAUGUUCAUCAGGAGUGGGAAAUCAAAUUAUUUCUGGGUAGAGGAUGAAGUGUUAAUAAAGUCUUUCUUGAUGGCAGCUUCCAUCUUUCUCAGAUCAAACUUAGAGAAGGAGUCUCAAGCAAGUUGGUAGGGCUCAAACUCAGCAGUAUUAUGUUAAGAUUUUUAAGCUCUCUGGUGCCAGCAAAUCAUGCAGCCUGGGGGCCUUUGCUCCAAACUUCUGCCAACUCCAUUUUGGCAGUAAAGUGUUCUGUUGAACAAAGUUUGCACGUGUUUGGGGUGCGAAGUGGUUCCUCAGGCAUUUAUCUGGUUUUAUUCCAGUUUAGGGACUUGAAGACAAGAGUCAGAAGCAUGAGACUUGUAUAGUUCAUAUAUGCCCUGAAACAGAUUAUGUUGAUGAUUUGGAAUUUUCACUUAAACAAGGACAGCUUUUUCUUUGUUGAUGUAAGAUUUAUUGAAGUGGACCGUUUAGUUUACUCCUUUAAUGCUAACAUGGUAUUGAACCAUUCUCAAAAGCAGGUAAGCAGAAUCCUCUCUGUUGAGGGUCUAGAGCUGUGGCAAAUCACUCCUCAUCCUCCUACCCACAAUACCAUCAAAUACCACUUGAGAGCAAAGAGGCCAGUAAUUAUUUAAACUUGAUCUCACUGUCGAUGAGCCUCUGAUCUUUUUUGGUAUUGGUUGUCUGGUUUCAUCUUUUUUACCUCCUUCUUCCUAUCCUGGAGUCAUUGAUUCACAACACUUGGCCAAGAUAUGUGUGCUAAUUUAUCUUAUUUCAGGGAGCCCCUCUUCCUGUGGGAAACAUAUACAUUCUCAAUUUCCAUUAUUUUUUCAAGUAAUCCUAAUGGAAAAUCCUUGCAUAAUCUGAGGUAACAGAGUUUGAAAGCCAUUAAACUGCUGUUGGAAUAUUCUUUUGUUUUUGUUUCUUUCUUCUCAGUUUAAGAGUAAUGGAAAGAAUGAGACACCUGGGUGGCUCAGUCUGUAAGGCAUACGACUUGGUCCAACUUUGGCUCUGGACGUGGGUUCAAGUUGUGCUGACAGCUCAGAGCCUGGAGCCUGCUUCAGACAGAUUCUGUGUCUCCCUCUUUCUCUGCCCCUCCCCCACUCGUGCUCUGUCUCUGUCUCUUAAAAAUAAAAUAAAAACAUUAAAAAAAAUUUUAAAGAAUAAUGGAAAGAAAAAAGUGCAAAAGGCACACAUAUUGAAAUGAUGGUAUUUUAACCACGAUCAAUGGAAUGUCAAUUUGUAAUAUACAGUAUGGUAACUUGAAAAUGGUAGUUAGUUUUGAUACUUUUGCCACUCUUUGGCCUAAAUUCCAAUCUGUACUUUUCCCUUUCCUUUCCUUCUUUUAAAAAGUAAUUCCCAAGUCACAGCUGACAUAUGGAUGAGAUGAAGAGACAAUGAAGAGCAAAGCUGGGCCUUUCCAAACAGUGGAUCUAUCUGCACUGAAAGUACUUUUGAACUUUGUUGCACGUUUUAUGGUGACCCCAAAAUUCCCUUGUUGGCUUACUUUAAAAUAUAAAUGUAUUGCAGUUUUACUACCUGGAGCAAGAUUAAAUACAUGCAUACAUAAGUGGGUGUGUACAUACAACCAGAUUCCACUGCCCUCUGAAGCUAAUUUAGACCAUUUUUAUAACCGAAUGUAGUAGCACUUUCCAAUUAGAUGAAAAUCAGUUGGUUUCCCUCAGUGGUGAGUCAAAUAUGUCAGGGGAAAAAUCAAGAGAAUCUUCCAUGGGAAAAACCCUAAGUAAGUUCUUUCUUUAAUAUUUUGUAUCUUUAUUUUGUAAUUCUUGAAUAUUUAGUCUUUUUUAACUUUAAGUAUACCUUUUCUUCUUGUCUACCUACUCAAAAUUAAUUAUGAAAUGUAAAUGUAAGUGUAAUAAUUAGUUUUUACCUCUUAGCACAUAAAUAUUUGCUUGAUAAGUAUGUGUAUAGGGAAGAA
rnacentral:lncRNA from 1 species